rnacentral:rRNA from 5 species
AAAUUGAAGAGUUUGAUCAUGGCUCAGAUUGAACGCUGGCGGCAGGCCUAACACAUGCAAGUCGAACGGUAACAGGAAGCAGCUUGCUGCUUCGCUGACGAGUGGCGGACGGGUGAGUAAUGUCUGGGAAACUGCCUGAUGGAGGGGGAUAACUACUGGAAACGGUGGCUAAUACCGCAUAACGUCGCAAGACCAAAGAGGGGGACCUUCGGGCCUCUUGCCAUCAGAUGUGCCCAGAUGGGAUUAGCUUGUUGGUGAGGUAACGGCUCACCAAGGCGACGAUCCCUAGCUGGUCUGAGAGGAUGACCAGCCACACUGGAACUGAGACACGGUCCAGACUCCUACGGGAGGCAGCAGUGGGGAAUAUUGCACAAUGGGCGCAAGCCUGAUGCAGCCAUGCCGCGUGUAUGA